UACGUAGGGUGCAAGCGUUAAUCGGAAUUACUGGGCGUAAAGCGUGCGCAGGCGGCUUUGCAAGACAGAUGUGAAAUCCCCGGGCUCAACCUGGGAACUGCAUUUGUGACUGCAUGGCUGGAGUGCGGCAGAGGGGGAUGGAAUUCCGCGUGUAGCAGUGAAAUGCGUAGAUAUGCGGAGGAACACCGAUGGCGAAGGCAAUCACCUGGGCCGGCACUGACGCUCAUGCACGAAAGCGUGGGGAGCAAACAGG
rnacentral:rRNA from 1 species